CAGCCAUGGAGGGAGCUCCUGAAGCUGC
rnacentral:piRNA from 1 species